rnacentral:lncRNA from 1 species
GGAAAAUGUAAUGGCUAUUGGAGGCGGGUUUGUGAGGAGAAAAUGGGAGGGUGAAAGGAACCUUGGGGCUCAUUUGGGUCAAGACCCUCAUAAGUAACCAAAGUUCCAAACUUCACAACGACCCAUCAAGCACAUAACCCGUACUAUGAUGCCAUUGUCUCCCACAGUAUAAUAAUCUGUGCAAGACUUGAUGUACAGGGCUUCAAUGGCAGGGGACCCUGUAGAAAACCUACAAGUAAAUCAGAGCCACUGAUUCAUAUGCUUGAAAACAAGCAUAUUGCUGCUCUGCCCUUUGC